rnacentral:rRNA from 1 species
GCUGGCGGCGUGGCUAAGACAUGCAAGUCGUACGGGCGUAGCAAUACGUCAGUGGCGAACGGGUGAGUAAUGUAUCGCUAACGUGCCCCCGAGUCAGGGAUAGCUGCCCGAAAGGGCAGGUAAUACCUGAUGAGACCACGACCGGGCAUCCGGUUGUGCUCAAAGCAGCAAUGCGCUCAGGGAGCGGGCGAUAUCGUAUCAGCUAGUUGGUGAGGUAACGGCUCACCAAGGCGACGACGCGUAGCCGGACUGAGAGGUUGGCCGGCCACAUUGGGACUGAGACACUGCCCAGACUCCUACGGGGGGCUGCAGUAACGAAUCUUCCGCAAUGCACGAAAGUGUGACGGAGCGACGCCGCGUGUGGGACGAAGUCCUUCGGGAUGUAAACCACUGUCAGGGGUUACCAAGUUCUGAGGAGCCCCAGAGGAAGGCACGGCUAACUCUGUGCCAGCAGCCGCGGUAAGACAGAGGUGCCAAGCGUUAGGCGGAAUCACUGGGCUUAAAGCGUGUGUAGGCGGAUCGUUAAGUACCUUGUGAAAUCCCACGGCUCAACCG